AGAGCGAACGCUGGCGGCAGGCUUAACACAUGCAAGUCGAGCGGGCGUAGCAAUACGUCAGCGGCAGACGGGUGAGUAACGCGUGGGAACGUACCUUUUGGUUCGGAACAACCCAGGGAAACUUGGGCUAAAUACCGGAUAAGCCCUUACGGGGAAAGAUUUAUCGCCGAAAGAUCGGCCCGCGUCUGAUUAGCUAGUUGGUGAGGUAAUGGCUCACCAAGGCGACGAUCAGUAGCUGGUCUGAGAGGAUGAUCAGCCACAUUGGGACUGAGACACGGCCCAAACUCCUACGGGAGGCAGCAGUGGGGAAUAUUGGACAAUGGGCGCAAGCCUGAUCCAGCCAUGCCGCGUGAGUGAUGAAGGCCCUAGGGUUGUAAAGCUCUUUUGUGCGGGAAGAUAAUGACGGUACCGCAAGAAUAAGCCCCGGCUAACUUCGCGCCAGCAGCCGC
rnacentral:rRNA from 1 species